AUUGAACGCUGGCGGCAGGCCUAACACAUGCAAGUCGAACGAGUGGCGGACGUGUGAGUAAUGUCUGGGAAACUGCCCGAUGGAGGGGGAUAACUACUGGAAACUGUAGCUAAUACCGCAUACCAUCGGAUGUGCCCAGAUGGGAUUAGCUAGUAGGUGGGGGAACGGCUCACCUAGGCGAAGAUCCCUAGCUGGUCUGAGAGGAUGACCAGCCACACUGGAAAUGAGACAAGGUCCAGACUCCUACGGGAGGCAGCAGGGGGGAAUAUUGCACAAUGGGGGCAAGCCUGAUGCAGACAUGCCGCGGGUAUGAAGAAGGCCUUCGGGUUGUAAAGUACUUUCAGCGAGGAGGCGUUACUCGCAGAAGAAGCACCGGCCAACUCCGUGCCAGCAGCCGCGGUAAUUC
rnacentral:rRNA from 1 species